ensembl:lncRNA
AUGGAGCGCCGUCGAGGAGAGAAAUCAGGUCCGAGAACCACACUCGGCCCAGCCAGCACAGGGCUGUUAAUAGAAGACGGACCCCGUCCUGGCGUACUCUCGCCAGAACUCCCGGGAGCAGAGCAAUCGGGGGAAAAGCAUACAGACGAAGCCUCGGCCAAGUCUGUACCAUGGCAUCCAGCCCCAGUGGAGCCGGAUGAGUCAGAGAGAACCAAAGGGGACAGUGUAAUGUCAUCUGAGUCGCAAACAGAUCCACCUGAGCCUGACCAAAUAUUCUCCAUAUCUGCUUCACCACCUCGGGGUGAAGCCUCCAUUCCCUGGGCCUCAGCCCCUGCCCCGACAGGAUGUUGGCUCCCAUAUUCACAUGCCCAGGAAUAUGUACUGCUCUCAGAUUCAAUGCACGAAAUAUGGCUAGCAUCUCCAGGCAGUUGAUGUGCCACAUGAGAUGGCGACCACUCCACAGACCACGGGCAGGAUGGCCACUCAUGAUCGCACUCCAAUCGGUGAGGGACGUGUCCGUCGCUAGCAUUACACAGCGACAAGGAGCUCCCAGCACCGGGCCCUGAGACAAGAACCAAGGCUUCCACCACAUGUCCAAGGCACGUAGGCAUCGCCGUGUGACCUUGAUCAUGCAAAGUGGGUUUCCCCUCGGGGAGAAAUCCUUGGUCUUGAGCCACCACUGUAGGGGUCUCAUGUACAGCAGCCCAAGAGGUAUCAUGUUGGACGCAGCUGCCAUUAACCCCAAUAGUUUCUGAAACUGUAUUUCUCUUUUAAAUCUGACAGGGUCAACCAAAAAUGUCUCUCCGCUGCCACCAGAGCUGUCAUGGACCGCCCAAUCGCGCAGGUGGACUCCUUGGUGUUGCGGAGAGCUAAAUCAGCUGUUUUCCUUAAUUCUGACACACUGUCUUCUUUAAUUUCCUUGCCUUCAUCUAGCUCUUUGAACAGGUCAGCCUGGUAUGUCUACAACAAAGCCAUUGUAUGAAGACAUGCACCGGCCUGACCUGCUGCCGCGUACCCCUUGCCCACCAGUGCUGAAGUGGUUCACAGCGGCUUGGAGGGCAAGACCGGAGCCUUUAAAGAUGAUGCCGCUUCGGGAGAUAGAUAGUUUGCGAGCGUCUGUUCUACCUGGGGCAUCGAUCUUUAACCGCGUUCACCCAAACCCCGUCACAUUGCUGUAAUAAUCUGAGGCGGGGAUGAAUAAGCGGGCCGAGAAUGGUUUUGCCCAUGAUCUCAACACCUCGGUGUGGAGAUCGGAGAAAAAAGGCAGGCUCCCGCAUGGAGUUGGUGGCCGAGAUCGUAAAAUCCGCUCAUCUACUCUUUUGCAGUUCGGAUUGUUUCUCGGCGGGCCAAUCGAUGUUUAACUUGGCUACUGCACGAGUUACCACCUCCAACAACUCCUCAUACUAGGGUGACUGAGGGGGAGAAUCAUCGACGCUCUCCACAUCCACCUCCUCAGAGGCAGAUAGGUGGAGUGUCACACCCGCUUCCCAGAGGGAAGAAGCACCGGAGCACGCUUCCGAUCCCAGAGAGCGGGUGCUGGAUCUGGCAGGUGAGGAAGAAGAUAGGGACUUGCCAGUCUCCAUUCCCUCUACCAGAUCCAACUGCGAACCCCACGAGUGCAGCUGCCGCUAUGCCUCGGCAGAAGCAGGGCCAACACCGUGAGGAACGCUGGCAAAGGCUCCAUCCUCAAAGAGAGCCCUCCGGGAGAGCCGACUCUGCAUGCUCCGAUCCCAAGCAGACCACGCACAGACUGUGUGUAUCUCCGCUCAUGAUGUAGCGUGGGCAGGGACGAACACACAAUCUGUAACAUGAUCUGCUUUCGCCCAUGUGUUUUGUCUUUUUUUUAGCCUUCUUUGACAUACUGUGAUUGUGUAACUGAGAGACAUCAGUAAAUAAUACUCACAGACACAAAUGGUAUGACUGACACACACACAGAGCUUCGCUGAAUGACAGAAAAGCUGACGUUCGUUCCAUCACACGUGCUUUUAUAGCUUCCUGGUCGCUACAUCAUCCGCCUAUGACGUCUCGCCCUUUCAUUGGACUGAUUACAAAUGUUAUUCAGAGCUGAUCACGCUGAUGGCAUUCCCAUAGCGAAUUCCGACACAGCUCGAGUUCCUGAAGGGGAACUACAUUUCCUGUCAUCAUCUGUGGCAGAAUGAAAAUGAUCAAAUACACAAAAUAAGCAUCAAUUGGACACCUAAUCAUAAUUAUGAUUCCCAAUCUGGUAAGCAGGACUUAAAGGCAGUGUGUUUUCCUAUGUAACUUCAAAAACAAAAUAAUAUAUUUUAAUUUAGAUGAAAAUACAGAUUUUAUUACAUCAGCAGACAAAUUGUGACACAAUCUUAAAUCAUGUCAGGUAUUCAGAAUCUUUUGGUGUGGUUGUGUUUCUUUUGCAAUAUGACAUUUUCUUUUUGCAUGCAGAGAUUGUCAAUAAUAUUAUUAUUUUCAUGGGAUAAAGGCAGAUGAGUCUGAUAUGGAGUUUGUUUGUUCUUUAUAACCUCCCAGUUGGCCUCAUAAUCUUAAUUAAAUCUCCUGCAGGCCCAACUGGCAUCAACCGCACAUUUGAAUCUUAAUCAGACAGAUUUAGAUCCGGCAUGGAGAAGGUGUCCUGGUUUUGCAGGAACAGUAUAGUCUUCCUCAUUUAUGAUUGGUGAAAACUGAAUUUCAGUAUUUUGUGAGGAGAAAAAAAAAUGCUAUGUCAAAUGCACUUUGUUGUUCAUUGUUAGUUCAUGUUAAUUCACAGUGCAUUAACUAAUGUUAACAAGCACAACUCUUGAUUUUAAUAAAUUUUGAAAUGAACACUAAGAUUAAUACACGCUGUAGAAGUAUUCUUAGUUCAUUCUUAGUUUAUGUUAACUAAAGUAGUUAGCUAAUGUUAUCUAAUGAAAGUUAUUGUAAAGUGUUACCAAUAAAACUAUUAAAAAAAAUUAACUACUCAAAAAAUGAUCAAAAGUGACAGGUAAGACAUUUCUAAUGUUACAAUAGAUUUAUAUUUGUUCUUUUGAACUUUCAAAGAAUCAAGACAAAUAAAUGUAUCAUGAGUCUAUAUGAAGCAGCAGUUUUUGACACUGAUAAUAGUAAAAAAAAAAAAUAAUUCUUGACCAGCAAAUCAGCAUAUUAGAAUGAUUUCUGAAGGAUCAUUUGAGACAGAUGGAUCAUUAUAGAAUUAGUGCGAAAGUUGUCGGUUUCACUUAAACAUACUGUAACCUUCAUUUGUUACUUUCUUAAGCAUGGUGUUGAUUCAAACACUCUCAUUAGGCGAGCAUGCUGUUUGAGGCGUCCUCCUGUGCCAUCGUGAUGUCUGCUGAAUGCUGCCCAUCUGUUCGCCUCCAGUGCGGAGUCAGCAGAGGUUCUGAUGAGACGCUCGGGGGUGAUGGGGGUCACACACACCAUGACGUGCUGACAAAGCAGAUCCAGGACAGACAGCAACAGAUGCAAUACAACUAAUAAUGAAAACAGAACUGUCAGUAAAUGAGCCACUGUUAACAUACACUACAAGUACUCAAAGUUUGCAAUAAUUAAGAGUUUUUUUUUUUGUUGUUGUUGUUUGUUUUUUGUUUUUUUACAUUUUUAAAAGAAGUCUCUUGAAACCGCUUAAAGAAACAGUUGAAAGAAUGAGUAUAAUAAUAAUAAUAAUAAUAAAUAAUAAUAAUAAUAAUAAUAAUAAUAAUAAUGAUAAAUCAUUUGCUUUCUCUCUCUCUCUCGUUGUUUCAAUCCUUCUUCUUCUUCUUCUUCUUCUUCUUCUUCUACUUUUUGUGGAAUUUUAUAUGUUUUUUUUUUUAUGCAAUUACUGAAAUAAUGGAAGCUUCUAUCCUAUCCUAGAUGACCUAUUCCAAUGAAAAGCGGUGUAUGAACUUUUCCUCCUUACUCACUUUAAGGAGCAGAUCUUCAAUAAGUAGAUCACAGCAGCCCUGCAGUGCCAGUUGAGUGUGAAAUGAAUUCACUUAAACUUGCAAAAGCUUUCGGGUUCUGUAUAUGUGGCAACAGUACAACUGCUUACCCUAAAGUAAAAAUAAAUAAAUAAAUAAAUGCAUUAGGUUCAGAGUCAAUCUCUCACUCAAAUUGAUUCAAAACCCUCCUUCCAUGUUUACUGAGGCAAACAAUAACUCUAAGGAGCAACCCUCAAAG